UACAGAGGUCUCAAGCGUUGUUCGGAUUCAUUGGGCGUAAAGGGUGCGUAGGCGGCGCGGUAAGUCGGGUGUGAAAUCUUGGAGCUUAACUCCGAAACUGCAUUCGAUACUGCCGUGCUUGAGGACUGGAGAGGAGACUGGAAUUUACGGGUGUAGCGGUGAAAUGCGUAGAUAAUCAGGUGGAACACCAGUGGCGAAGGCGGCUUUCUGGACGGUAACUGACGCUGAGACGCGAAAGCGUGGGGAGCAAACAGG
rnacentral:rRNA from 1 species